rnacentral:tRNA from 1 species
GGCGGGAUAGCUCAGCUGGUUAGAGCGUGCGACUCAUAAUCGCAAGGUCGGGAGUUCGAGUCUCCCUCCCGCUA